CCUACGGGGAGGCAGCAGUGAGGAAUAUUGGUCAAUGGGCGUAAGCCUGAACCAGCCAAGUCGCGUGAGGGAUGAAGGUUCUAUGGAUCGUAAACCUCUUUUAUAAGGGAAUAAAGUGCGGGACGUGUCCCGUUUUGUAUGUACCUUAUGAAUAAGGAUCGGCUAACUCCGUGCCAGCAGCCGCGGUAUUACGGGGGAUCCGAGCGUUCUCCGGAUUUAUUGGGUUUAAAGGGUGCGAAGGCGGCCUUUAAAGUCAGCGGUGAAAGUCUGUGGCUCAACCAUGGAAUUGCCGUUGAAACUGGAAGGCUUGAGUAUAUUUGAGGCAGGCGGAAUGCGUGGUGUAGCGGUGGAAUGCUUAGAUAUCACGCAGAACCCC
rnacentral:rRNA from 1 species